rnacentral:rRNA from 1 species
UACGUAGGGUCCGAGCGUUGUCCGGAAUUAUUGGGCGUAAAGGGCUCGUAGGCGGUUUGUCGCGUCGGGAGUGAAAACACGGGGCUUAACCCCGUGCCUGCUUCCGAUACGGGCAGACUAGAGGUAUGCAGGGGAGAACGGAAUUCCUGGUGUAGCGGUGAAAUGCGCAGAUAUCAGGAGGAACACCGGUGGCGAAGGCGGAUCUCUGGGCCAUUACUGACGCUGAGGAGCGAAAGCGUGGGGAGCGAACAGG